rnacentral:rRNA from 1 species
GACGAACGCUGGCGGCGUGCUUAACACAUGCAAGUCGAACGGAAAGGCCCUGCUUUUGUGGGGUGCUCGAGUGGCGAACGGGUGAGUAACACGUGAGUAACCUGCCCUUGACUUUGGGAUAACUUCAGGAAACUGGGGCUAAUACCGGAUAGGAGCUCCUGCUGCAUGGUGGGGGCUGGAAAGUUUCGGCGGUUGGGGAUGGACUCGCGGCUUAUCAGCUUGUUGGUGGGGUAGUGGCUUACCAAGGCUUUGACGGGUAGCCGGCAUGAGAGGGUGACCGGCCACAAUGGGACUGAGAUACGGCGCAGACUCCUACGGGAGGCAGCAGUGGGGAAUAUUGCACAAUGGGCGGAAGCCUGAUGCAGCAACGCCGCGUGCGGGAUGACGGCCUUCGGGUUGUAAACCGCUUUCGCCUGUGACGAAGCGUGAGUGACGGUAAUGGGUAAAGAAGCACCGGCUAACUACGUG